rnacentral:rRNA from 1 species
AUUGAACGCUAGCGGCAGGCCUAACACAUGCAAGUCGAACGAGUGGCGGACGGGUGAGUAAUGUCUGGGCAACUGCCCGAUGGAGGGGGAUACCUACUGGAAACGGUAGCUAAUACCGCAUACCAUCGGAUGUUCCCAGAUGGGAUUAGCUUGUGGGUGGGGUAAAGGCUCACCUAGGCGACGAUCCCUAGCUGGUCUGAGAGGAUGACCAGCCACACUGGAACUGAGACACGGCCCAGACUCCUACGGGAGGCAGCAGUGGGGAAUAUUGGACAAUGGGGGCAAGCCUGAUGCAGCCAUGCCGCGUGUAUGAUGAAGGCCUUCGGGUUGUAAAGUACUUUCAGCGGGGAGGCGGUACCCGCAGAAGAAGCACCGGCUAACUCCGUGCCAGCAGCCGCGGUAAUUC